rnacentral:tRNA from 1 species
GGAAGAUUGGCCGAGCGGUCGAAGGCGCAUGUUUGGAGUACAUGUAUACGGGUAACCGUAUCUAGGGUUCGAAUCCCUAAUCUUCCGA